AUUGAACGCUGGCGGCAGGCCUAACACAUGCAAGUCGAGCGGAUGAAGGGAGCUUGCUCCUGGAUUCAGCGGCGGACGGGUGAGUAAUGCCUAGGAAUCUGCCUGGUAGUGGGGAUAACGUCCGGAAACGGGCGCUAAUACCGCAUACGUCCUGAGGGAGAAAGUGGGGGAUCUUCGGACCUCACGCUAUCAGAUGAGCCUAGGUCGGAUUAGCUAGUUGGUGGGGUAAAGGCCUACCAAGGCGACGAUCCGUAACUGGUCUGAGAGGAUGAUCAGUCACACUGGAACUGAGACACGGUCCAGACUCCUACGGGAGGCAGCAGUGGGGAAUAUUGGACAAAGGGCGAAAGCCUGAUCCAGCCAUGCCGCGUGUGUGAAGAAGGUCUUCGGAUUGUAAAGCACUUUAAGUUGGGAGGAAGGGCAGUAAGUUAAUACCUCGCUGUUUUGACGUUACCAACAGAAUAAGCACCGGCUAACUUCGUG
rnacentral:rRNA from 1 species